rnacentral:rRNA from 1 species
CCUACGGGAGACAGCAGUGAGGAAUAUUGGUCAAUGGGCUUACGCCUGAACCAGCCAAGUCGCGUGAGGGAAGACUGCCCUAUGGGUUGUAAACCUCUUUUGUCAGGGAGCAACGCCGGCUACGUGUAGCCGGACUGAGAGUACCUGAAGAAAAAGCAUCGGCUAACUCCGUGCCAGCAGCCGCGGUAAUACGGAGGAUGCGAGCGUUAUCCGGAUUUAUUGGGUUUAAAGGGUGCGUAGGCGGAAUGCCAAGUCAGCGGUAAAAUCGCGGGGCUCAACCUCGCUCCGCCGUUGAUACUGGCGGUCUUGAGUGGGCGAGAGGUAGGCGGAAUGCGUGGUGUAGCGGUGAAAUGCAUAGAUAUCACGCAGAACUCCGAUUGCGAAGGCAGCAUACCGGCGCCCAACUGACGCUGAAGCACGAAAGCGUGGGUAUCGAACAGGAUUAGAUACCCCGGUAGUC